AUUGAACGCUGGCGGCAUGCCUUACACAUGCAAGUCGAACGGCAGCACGGGUGCUUGCACCUGGUGGCGAGUGGCGAACGGGUGAGUAAUACAUCGGAACGUACCUUAUCGUGGGGGAUAACGCAGCGAAAGCUGUGCUAAUACCGCAUACGCCCUGAGGGGGAAAGCGGGGGAUCGAAAGACCUCGCGCGAUUAGAGCGGCCGAUGCCUGAUUAGCUUGUUGGUGGGGUAAAAGCCCACCAAGGCGACGAUCAGUAGCUGGUCUGAGAGGACGAUCAGCCACACUGGGACUGAUACACGGCCCAGACUCCGACGGGAGGAAUCAGUGGGGAAUUUUUGACAAUGGGGGCAACCCUGAUCCAGCAAUGCCGCGUGAGUGAAGAAGGCCUUCGGGUUGUAAAGCUCUUUUGUCAGGGAAGAAACACCGGCUCUAACACAGUCCGGGAAUGACGGUACCUGAAGAAUAAGCACCGGCUAACUACGUGCCAGCAGCAGCCGCCG
rnacentral:rRNA from 1 species